rnacentral:rRNA from 1 species
GUCGAGCGGCCAUUUAUGGCAGCGGCGAACGGGUGAGUAACGCGUUGGGAUCUGCCCCGAACUCAGGGAUAACAUCGAGAAAUCGGUGCUAAUACCGGAUAGUCUCGCAAGAGUAAAGAUUUUUCGGUUCGGGAGGAACCUGCGUCCUAUUAGCUAGUUGGUAAGGUAAUGGCUUACCAAGGCGAUGAUGGGUAGCUGGUCUGAGAGGAUGAUCAGCCACAAUGGGACUGAGACACGGCCCAUACUCC